rnacentral:lncRNA from 1 species
UCCAAAGUAAUUGUUGAUGAAAGAAAACAUUCUUUGUCACUUCCCAGGGACGAAACUAGACGGAAUUCAUUUUCACAUACCGUAAAAACAUUAUCGCUUUUAAAAGAAAUCUGUCGGGCAGAACACAAAUAUAUGAAUAUGAGUUAUGACCCCCCUCCCAGUGGUGUAGCAAACUCGGUAAUCUCAAAAACCUCCUCAAACUAGUCCAAACUUUCUGAAAAUUGUCAAAAACCUUUU